rnacentral:rRNA from 1 species
GAUGAACGCUGGCGGCGUGCCUAAUACAUGCAAGUCGAACGCACAGCGAAAGGUGCUUGCACCUUUCAAGUGAGUGGCGAACGGGUGAGUAACACGUGGACAACCUGCCUCAAGGCUGGGGAUAACAUUUGGAAACAGAUGCUAAUACCGAAUGAAACUUAGUGUCGCAUGACACGAAGUUAAAAGGCGCUUUGGCGUCACCUAGAGAUGGAUCCGCGGUGCAUUAGUUAGUUGGUGGGGUAAAGGCCUACCAAGACAAUGAUGCAUAGCCGAGUUGAGAGACUGAUCGGCCACAUUGGGACUGAGACACGGCCCAAACUCCUACGGGAGGCUGCAGUAGGGAAUCUUCCACAAUGGGCGAAAGCCUGAUGGAGCAACGCCGCGUGUGUGAUGAAGGCUUUCGGGUCGUAAAGCACUGUUGUAUGGGAAGAACAGCUAGAAUAGGGAAUGAUUUUAGUUUGACGGUACCAUACCAGAAAGGGACGGCUAACUACGUCC